AGUCAAUGCUGAGAACAGGAAAAAGAAAAAAUAUGAUCAUACAGGGGGUUCACGUCCCUUCCUAAAACACAUGGAAGCUGCUGUAGAGGUUAUAAUUUUCCUUUCAUUUUAAUCUUGUUUUUUUCUUUUAAAUUUAUAACUGCAAGUAUUUCUCAUUUUAUUUUUGGUUGGGAAUAUGUAGAAGGGUGAAAAUCCUACAUACAUUAGCAACUGGAACACCUUGCAUAUGUAUAAGGAUAAGGCCGUGUGGAUCAAUGAGGCGGCUGAAAGUAAAGGGAAGAAAAUGAUGGAAGAUUAUGAGAAGGCCAAGCAAGAAUUGGCAGAGAGUUCAAGAACUGAACUAGAUCAUAUCACGGUCUCUAAACAACAGCAAUUAGAGAUCAUGACUGCAGAACUUGGGGUUGCAAAGGGAAGAAGGAUACGAGGCUUGGGCUCUAAUCUGCGAGUGGAGAGUUCACGUGAUCGAACUACUGCUACUUCCUCUUUGGCUACAGAGCAAAAGGUGGAGGAGCUUCAGGGCACAGUUGGUGAGUUGAAGGGCACAGUGAGUGAGCUUCAGGGCACAGUUGGUAAACUUUUGGGUGUUAUUGAAUGGAUGCGAACCCAUGUGGGUGCUCUGCCCCCAGAUAUGGAUAUGGGUGUUCCUCCUCAGCAUGUUGGUGAUCCAACCUAUAGUGAUGAUGAUGAUGACAAUAUUAGUUUGGGUCACUAGUUUUUGGUUUUACUGAAUUGUCUUGAUGAUAUAGGCUUUGGCUAGUUUUUGGUUUUACUGAAUUGUCUUGAUGAUAUAGGCUUUGGCUAGUUUUUGGUUUU